CACACGGAAGCCAGUAUUUGCUCUGGCGUUUCUUGCAUCAAUCUCCGGCCCACUGCAAGGCUUUGGUAAUGCCGUUGUGUAUGGAGUAGACAAGGAAACAAUCAGCAAACUAACAUGGCUGCAGAUCAAAACUGGUUUUCAGCAACGAUUCGGUCACGUGAAUAUUGGUGAAUAUCCAGCUGAAACGAGACCCGUGACAUCGGUGAGUAGCGAUGUCACAUCCGAGAACGACAACUAGCAUGCACACUUGCCAAGUCACUCGAACAAACACAAUACAAGUAGAACAUGCGUUUAAAAUUAGCAUUUUAGCAUGUAGUUAUACUGACACGAAGAUAGUAUUGUAUUGCACUAAUUCAAAUAAACAGCAAUUUGAGAGGUUG